GAAGCCCCAGUAAACGGCGGCCGUAACUAUAACGGUCCUAAGGUAGCGAAAUUCCUUGUCGGGUAAGUUCCGACCUGCACGAAUGGCAUAAUGAUGGCCAGGCUGUCUCCACCCGAGACUCAGUGAAAUUGAAAUCGCCGUGAAGAUGCGGUGUACCCGCGGCUAGACGGAAAGACCCCGUGAACCUUUACUAUAGCUUGACACUGAACAUUGAAUUUUGAUGUGUAGGAUAGGUGGGAGACUUAGAAGUAGUCACGCCAGUGAUUAUGGAGUCGUCCUUGAAAUACCACCCUUUAACGUUUGAUGUUCUAACGAAGAUUACGAAACGUGGUCUCGGACAGUGUCUGGUGGGUAGUUUGACUGGGGCGGUCUCCUCCCAAAGAGUAACGGAGGAGCACGAAGGUUUGCUAAUGACGGUCGGACAUCGUCAGGUUAGUGCAAUGGUAUAAGCAAGCUUAACUGCGAGACAGACAAGUCGAGCAGGUACGAAAGUAGGUCAUAGUGAUCCGGUGGUUCUGAAUGGAAGGGCCAUCGCUCAACGGAUAAAAGGUACUCCGGGGAUAACAGGCUGAUACCGCCCAAGAGUUCAUAUCGACGGCGGUGUUUGGCACCUCGAUGUCGGCUCAUCACAUCCUGGGGCUGAAGUAGGUCCCAAGGGUAUGGCUGUUCGCCAUUUAAAGUGGUACGCGAGCUGGGUUUAGAACGUCGUGAGACAGUUCGGUCCCUAUCUGCCGUGGGCGUUGGAGAAUUGAUUGGGGCUGCUCCUAGUACGAGAGGACCGGAGUGGACGCACCACUGGUGUUCCGGUUGUGUCGCCAGACGCAUUGCCGGGUAGCUAAGUGCGGAAGAGAUAAGUGCUGAAAGCAUCUAAGCACGAAACUUGCCAAGAGAUGAGUUCUCCCAGAUUUAAAAUCUGUAAGGGUUGUUUAAGACUAAGACGUAGAUAGGUCUGGUGUGUAAGCGGUGCGAGCCGUUGAGCUAACAGAUACUAAUUGCCCGAGAGGCUUAACUAU
rnacentral:rRNA from 1 species